UGACUCAAUCAGCAGAC
rnacentral:rRNA from 1 species